UACAGAGGGGGCAAGCGUUAUUCGGAAUUAUUGGGCGUAAAGGGCGCGUAGGCGGCUUUUCAAGUGGCGGGGGAAAGCCCUCGGCUUAACCGAGGAACUGCCUGCCAGACUGAAUGGCUUGAGACCGGGAGAGGUGAGUGGAAUUCCCAGUGUAGCGGUGAAAUGCGUAGAUAUCAAGUGGAACACCAGUGGCGAAGGCGAGUCUCUGGACAUUUCCUGACGCUGAGGCACGAAAGCCAGGGGAGCAAACGGG
rnacentral:rRNA from 1 species